rnacentral:misc_RNA from 1 species
UACGUAGGGUCCGAGCGUUGUCCGGAAUUAUUGGGCGUAAAGAGCUCGUAGGCGGCGUGUCGCGUCUGCUGUGAAAGACCGGGGCUUAACCCCGGUUCUGCAGUGGAUACGGGCAUGCUAGAGGUAGGUAGGGGAGACUGGAAUUCCUGGUGUAGCGGUGAAAUGCGCAGAUAUCAGGAGGAACACCGGUGGCGAAGGCGGGUCUCUGGGCCUUACCUGACGCUGAGGAGCGAAAGCAUGGGGAGCGAACAGG